ACGUAGGGGGCGAGCGUUGUCCGGAAUUACUGGGCGUAAAGGGUGCGUAGGUGGCCUUUUAAGUUGGAUGUGAAAUACCCGGGCUUAACUUGGGGGGUGCAUCUAAUACUGGAGGGCUAGAGUGCAGGAGAGGAAAGCGGAAUUCCUAGUGUAGGGGUGACUGGCUUAUAACUUAGACGGAACCCCGAAGGCGAGGGCAGCAUACUGGAUUAUAUCUGACUCUAAGGCAGGAGAGUGUGGUGUAUUAGCCG
rnacentral:rRNA from 1 species